UGAGGAAUAUUGCCCAAUGGACGCAAGUCUGAGGCAGCAACGCCGCGUGGGUGAUGAUGGCCUUCGGGUUGUAAAACCCUUUUCCGAGGGACGAGUAAGGACGGUACCUCAGGAAUAAGUCACGGCUAACUACGUGCCAGCAGCCGCGGUAAUACGUAGGUGGCUAGCGUUAUCCGGAUUUAUUGGGCGUAAAGCGCGUGCAGGCGGUUCUGUAAGUCGGACGUGAAAGCUCCUGGCUUAACUGGGAGAGGUCGUUCGAUACCGCGGGGCUUGAGGUCGGGAGAGGGACGUGGAAUUCCCGGUGUAGUGGUGGAAUGCGUAGAUACCGGGAGGAACACCAGUGGCGAAAGCGACGUCCUAGCCCGCACCUGACGCUAAGACGCGAAAGCGUGGGGAGCGAACGG
rnacentral:rRNA from 1 species